CCAAGCCAAAGACUCAGAGACUGUUUAAUGGGACUCUUUGAGGCAAAGCACAAAUUCCAGAUUUUCUGAGGUCUGAGCUCCAGGGACUCCUUCUGGUUGCUUACUCUGGCAGUUUACACACCCCGGCACUGCAAGUCCUCAAGUGAUGUCAUUUUGUCAUUGAGAAAAAAGUCCUGGCCAAUGUUGACUAAAAUUACACUGACUCGUGUGUUCCAUCGGCUCGUGUAUGUGACUAUAGUACGUAAAUACACAGCAAGCCAGAGAAGCAGCCUCCUUGUGUUGCUGGCUAGUGAGCAUGGCGGGCCUUCAGGGUUGGCUCUCAUCCACCUGCUCCUGCUUGAGCUGAAGACCUUUUAACACCUGGCAUAAUGAGAUGUAAUCAGUGGCUACUUUAACUUUGGGAAGGGCAGGGGGAGGAAGAGGGGCUCUGCUUGGUUAUCUGGUGUUACCGGUUGUUCUAGAGCCUGGGUUCUUCC